UCUAAAUCUAAAUGUUAAAUCUAUAUCUAAAUGUUAAAUCUAUAUCUAAAUGUUAAAUCUAAAUCUAAAUGUUAAAUCUAUAUCUAAAUGUUAAAUCUAAAUGUAAAUCUAAAUGUUGAGUUGACAUGUUAGACUCGAGGAUCGAACAUUCCCAUAUUUACGGUAAUUGUGUUCCCGUUGUGUAACAACGCAUGGAGAAAGCGCGGUAUUUUAGUCACUUCAUGCUGCAAGGCAAGAUGGCCAGUCCUGAACUAGCCCUUGUCAUAGAGCGAGCUGUUGCAGCUGGCGUUAGGGCGGCCCUCCAAGACCGACCGACGCCUACACCAGGAACAAGUCUCGUCGCAACAGACACCACAUCAUUGCCGUCGGUAUCAGCAGUGAUUUCAUCACCAAGUACAGCGACCACAUCACAGAGAUCGGUACCUCUUCCAUCUUUUCCCCAACGAAGUGGUGCAAGACCGGGGUUAAUAAGACGAAGACCUUACAAAACAUUCACAAAGGACAUUGUGUGUUUGCCUUGGUCGACAAACACAAUCUUCUCCAUACCAAGAGGAGACACCAGAACGAAAUUAGCGGAAGAUGGCCUCAUUGGCAAAAUAUCAUUUUCAUCCGAGUGGUCUGAAGUCCAAUUAAAAUUGGAAAUAACAGCCAUCUUUAGAGCCACGUUCGGAUUGUCGGAGAACCAGGAAUUCCCAUUUGAAUAUUUAUGCACCAUAAAGG